rnacentral:rRNA from 1 species
CCAGACUCCUACGGGAGGCAGCAGUGGGGAAUAUUGGGCAAUGGAGGCAACUCUUACCCAGCAAUGCCGCGUGAAUGAAGAAGGUCUUCGGAUUGUAAAGUUCUUUAAUUGGGGACGAAAAAAAUGACGGUACCCAAGGAAUAAGCCCCGGCUAACUACGUGCCAGCAGCCGCGGUAAUACGUAGGGGGCAAGCGUUAUCCGGAUUUACUGGGUGUAAAGGGGGCGCAGACGGCGAUGCAAGCCAGGAGUGAAAGCCUGGGGCCCAACCCCGGGACUGCUCUUGGAACUGCGUGGCUGGAGUGCAGGAGGGGCAGGCGGAAUUCCUGGUGUAGCGGUGAAAUGCGUAGAUAUUAGGAGGAACACCAGUGGCGAAGGCGGCCUACUGGACGGUGACUGACGCUGAGGCUCGAAAGCGUGGGGAGCAAACAGGAUUAGAUACCCGAGUAAC